UGUCCAGCAACUCCUAUCCCUACCUCCUCGUGGUACUGGCCGGGUUACAAGUAACCUUGGGGAAGAUCGGGUAACCAACCCCCGGUGGGAACUUUGGUCGUAUGCUGACAGGGAAGA
rnacentral:ribozyme from 1 species